UACGUAGGUGGCGAGCGUUGUCCGGAAUUACUGGGUGUAAAGGGCGUGUAGGCGGGAAGAUAAGUCAGAUGUGAAAUUCCGCGGCUUAACUGCGGAGCUGCAACUGAAACUAUCUUUCUUGAGUGCUGGAGAGGGAAGCGGAAUUCCUAGUGUAGCGGUGAAAUGCGUAGAUAUUAGGAGGAACACCAGUGGCGAAGGCGGCUUUCUGGACAGUAACUGACGCUGAGGCGCGAAAGCGUGGGGAGCAAACAGGAUUAGAUACCCUGGUAGUCCACGCUGUAAACGAUGGAUACUAGGUGUAGGAGGUAUCGACCCCUUCUGUGCCGGAGUUAACACAAUAAGUAUCCCACCUGGGGAGUACGGCCGCAAGGUUGAA
rnacentral:rRNA from 1 species